AGAACGAACGCUGGCGGCGUGGAUAAGACAUGCAAGUCGAACGGGAUUAUUUUUGUAGCAAUACAGAAAUAAUUCAGUGGCGAACGGGUGCGUAACACGUGGGCAAUCUGCCGAAAAGUGGGGGAUAGCUCGCCGAAAGGCGAAUUAAUACCGCAUGUGGUGAGGGACGACAUCUUCCUGAAUCCAAAGCCGGGGCAACCUGGCGCUUUUUGAGGAGCCCGCGGCCUAUCAGCUAGUUGGUGGGGUGAUGGCCUACCAAGGCGACGACGGGUA
rnacentral:rRNA from 1 species